ACGCCUACGGGACGCAGCAGUAGGGAAUCUUCCACAAUGGACGAAAGUCUGAUGGAGCAACGCCGCGUGAGUGAAGAAGGGUUUCGGCUCGUAAAGCUCUGUUGGUAGUGAAGAAAGAUAGAGGUAGUAACUGGCCUUUAUUUGACGGUAAUUACUUAGAAAGUCACGGCUAACUACGUGCCAGCAGCCGCGGUAAUACGUAGGUGGCAAGCGUUGUCCGGAUUUAUUGGGCGUAAAGCGAGUGCAGGCGGUUCAAUUAAUCUGAUGUGAAAGCCUUUCGCUCCACCGGAGGA
rnacentral:rRNA from 1 species